rnacentral:ncRNA from 1 species
UACUGCUGUACGGCCAAGGCGGAUGUACGGUACAGCAGGAACAGCCUCUAGUCGAUAGAAUAAUGUAGGUAAGGGAAGUCGGCAAACUAGAUCCGUAACUUCGGGAAAAGGAUUGGCUCCAGUGGUUGGAACGAUUGGCCAGUUGGUUGAUGCUUGUCCGGCGCUAUUCUGUCUGCUUGAGGCCUUCGGGCUGAUGGCGGACUAGCGAUAGUGCUUGCUUGUGGACGCUUUCUGGUGUGUGCUUGAACCUCGGUUCUAGUAUCCUGAUCGCUCAUCUAAACAACCGUACUGGAACCGGUACGGACUCAGGGAAUCCGACUGUCUAAUUAAAACAGAGGUGACAGAUGGUCCUUGCGGACGUUGACUGUCACUGAUUUCUGCCCAGUGCUCUGAAUGUUAAAUCGUAGUAAUUCGAGUAAGCGCGGGUAAACGGCGGGAGUAACUAUGACUCUCUUAAGGUAGCCAAAUGCCUCGUCAUUUAAUUGUUGACGCGCAUGAAUGGAUUAACGAGAUUCCUACUGUCCCUAACUACUAUCUAGCGAAACCACAGCCAAGGGAACGGGCUUGGCAAAAAUAGCGGGGAAAGAAGACCCUGUUGAGCUUGACUCUAGUUUGACAUUGUGAAGAGUCAUGAGAGGUGUAGCAUAGGUGGGAGACUUCGGUCGACAGUGAAAUACCACCACUUUCAUCGACUCUUUACUUAUUCGGUUGAAAGAGAAUUGGCUUCACGGCCUUUUUUCGAAGCAUUAAGCGGAGCCAUUUUAUGGCACCGUGACUCUCCUCGAAGACAGUGUCAAGCGGGGAGUUUGACUGGGGCGGUACAUCUAUCAAAUCGUAACGUAGGUGUCCUAAGGCGAGCUCAGAGAGGACGGAAACCUCUCGUAGAGCAAAAGGGCAAAAGCUUGCUUGAUCUUGACUUUCAGUACGAGUACAGACCGCGAAAGCGUGGCCUAUCGAUCCUUUUAAUUUCCUGAUUGUUUCAGGUAAGAGGUGUCAGAAAAGCUGCUGUACGGCCAAGGCGGAUGUACGGUACAGCAGGUGACUGU